AGACAAUCCAAUAUGUAAAGUAUUAGUAAAAAAGGAUGAAGAAAGCUCUCUUCAAUAACAAGAGAAGUAAAGAUAAGGAUUGAAAAGUUGCGAGAUCAAUAACUGGGGGAAGAUCAAAUCAAGAAGGAUGCAUGGUAGAGACGUCAACCAGGAAGGAGUUGGCAACAACAAGGAGCUCACCACCAACACAACCACAAUCAAUCGGAGGACAAAAUAAAUGCCGCAAUAAUAAUUAGUGGCAUGUGUGUGGUAAAAGAGGCCACUUUGCUCGUGCUUGUCGGCAUAGAAGGGCAAAAGGGAACAUUGCG
rnacentral:misc_RNA from 1 species